rnacentral:rRNA from 1 species
GACAAGCUCGAGCGAAUCGACGGGUAGCUUGCUCCCUGAGAUUAGCGGCGGACGGGUGAGUAACACGUGGGCAACCUGCCUAUAAGACUGGGAUAACUUCGGGAAACCGGAGCUAAUACCGGAUACGUUCUUUUCUCGUAUGAGAGAAGAUGGAAAGACGGUUUACGCUGUCACUUAUAGAUGGGCCCGCGGCGCAUUAGCUAGUUGGUGAGGUAAUGGCUCACCAAGGCGACGAUGCGUAGCCGACCUGAGAGGGUGAUCGGCCACACUGGGACUGAGACACGGCCCAGACUCCUACGGGAGGCAGCAGUAGGGAAUCUUCCGCAAUGGACGAAAGUCUGACGGAGCAACGCCGCGUGAACGAAGAAGGCCUUCGGGUCGUAAAGUUCUGUUGUUAGGGAAGAACAAGUACCAGAGUAACUGCUGGUACCUUGACGGUACCUAACCAGAAAGCCACGGCUAACUACGUGCCAGCAGCCGCGGUAAUACGUAGGUGGCAAGCGUUGUCCGGAAUUAUUGGGCGUAAAGCGCGCGCAGGUGGUUCCUUAAGUCUGAUGUGAAAGCCCACGGCUCAACCGUGGAGGGUCAUUGGAAACUGGGGAACUUGAGUGCAGAAGAGGAAAGUGGAAUUCCAAGUGUAGCGGUGAAAUGCGUAGAGAUUUGGAGGAACACCAGUGGCGAAGGCGACUUUCUGGUCUGUAACUGACACUGAGGCGCGAAAGCGUGGGGAGCAAACAGGAUUAGA